rnacentral:lncRNA from 1 species
GCUGAAUCUUCCCCGACUUCAGUUGCAUGCUGCCAUUAGUCACCAGGUUGACCUGGAAUUCCUUGGUUUAGGUCUGGGCAGCGUCUUCCUGAACAGCCUGAAGCAGACGGUGGUGACCCUAGCAAGCAGCGCAGACGUGCUGAGCACCAUGCAGUCGGCCUCCCAGGCCAUGCUGCAGAGCGGCUGGUCCAUGCUGUUGCCCACCGCUGAGAAGCAGGCCCGGGCACUCUGCUCUCCUGCCCUGCGGAGUUUCAGGCAAUGAAGUGAACAUAAGUCCAGGUCAUCGAUUGGUGAUUGAUCUUCUGGUGGGCAGCUUGAUGGCUGAUGGAGGGUUGGAGUCAGCCUUACAUGCAGCCAGUACUGCAGAGAUCCAGGAUACAAAAAAAGAAGCACAGAAGGAAAAAGAAAUUGAUGAACAGGAAGCGAAUGCCUCAACAUUUCAUAGAAGGAGGACUCCAUUGGAUAAAGACCUUAUUAGUAUGGGGAUCUGUGAGUCUUCUGGCAAACAGUGUUUGCCUCUGGUUCAGCU